UAGAGUUUGAUUAUGGCUCAGAUUGAACGCUGGCGGCAGGCCUAACACAUGCAAGUCGAGCGGUAGAGAGAAGCUUGCUUCUCUUGAGAGCGGCGGACGGGUGAGUAAUGCCUAGGAAUCUGCCUGGUAGUGGGGGAUAACGCUCGGAAACGGACGCUAAUACCGCAUACGUCCUACGGGAGAAAGCAGGGGACCUUCGGGCCUUGCGCUAUCAGAUGAGCCUAGGUCGGAUUAGCUAGUUGGUGAGGUAAUGGCUCACCAAGGCGACGAUCCGUAACUGGUCUGAGAGGAUGAUCAGUCACACUGGAACUGAGACACGGUCCAGACUCCUACGGGAGGCAGCAGUGGGGAAUAUUGGACAAUGGGCGAAAGCCUGAUCCRGCCAUGCCGCGUGUGUGAAGAAGGUCUUCGGAUUGUAAAGCACUUUAAGUUGGGAGGAAGGGUUGUAACCUAAUACGUUGCAAUCUUGACGUUACCGACAGAAUAAGCACCGGCUAACUCUGUGCCAGCAGCCGCGGUAAUAC
rnacentral:rRNA from 1 species